GACAUUGAAAUCACAGAAUUCUGUGGUUGAAAUGAGUCUCUGCUUGACCGUUCCUAACAUUGUCUUUUUUCCAUAAUUAAUAAUUACAAUGUAUUAGAAUUAUUUGAUUAGAAUGAACAAUGGCCUCUUCUGAGUCUGGAACCACAACUCGGUAUCGGGAAAAGAAGCCUUGGAGGAAAAUUCUGUAUGAAGAUCAAGGGUAUCCAGAUGAUUAUGUGGACAGCUCUUUCCUUGAAGAGUUGAAAAAAAAUUUGCAUGUGAGAUCAUACAGUUAUGGAAUGUUGGUCUGUGCUUCCACCAGCAUCACCCAACAGUUGAGCAGCGUUGGACUGUUUGUAGCCAUGUUUUUCAACAUGGAGGAUCGGAUGCUCUCUCCACAAGUGUUAUGGGCUUUAGCAUCGGCUGUCACAGUGUUGGGAUACGUUGUGAACCAAAGUCUUGCGUGGUACUACAGACAACAGCCUGUGCCCGCUCUGUUGGUAAAACACCUGAAGACGUGUGUCCUGUUCCAAGGUUUCAGCGCGUUCCUGUCCCCUGUGCUGGCGUCGCUCACUGAGACCAUCAGCACUGACACGAUCUACGCCAUGACAGCUCUCAUGUUUGCCGGCUACCUGCUCUUUUACAAUUAUCACACAUUAGACGGAGAUGUCCCUGGAGCUGUGUCGCUGAAUGCUGCGGUGUUUGCCUCUGUGUGCCUGGCGUCCCGACUCCACACGGCCUGGCACGCCUUCACAACGGUCACCAUCUCCUUUGAGAUGUUUGCUCUCUGGCCCAUUCUGCAGAAUACCCUUAAGGAGUUUCAUUACCGAGGCCAUGUGAUUGUGACGUUAGUUAUCUCCCUUGUGUGUACCUUGUGUCUGCUGCCCAAGACGGUGGUCGGGGCUGUCCUCUACCUCACAGCUGCCAUCUUCGUCACCUUCGUCUGCCCUGCCUGGCUCUUCCACAUACAGCCCCUCAAAAACAAUAUUUACGGCCCCUGGGAUGAGGCUGUGGUCAAGACGUGACCUCGCUGACCUCUAGCACUUUCGGAAACAGGUCAAUGGAAAGGCCUUGAUGAGCUGGCUGAUCCAACUGUAUUGUUUUGGCAUUUGAUGUGUUAUUUUGUACAUAUUAUUGUGUAUGAGAUUUUGAUAAGAGGAUUGGGUGUGUGAACAUCUCUUUUUAUUACUGGUUUCCAUCAAGGGAAAUGUAUUUUUAAUUUAUACAGGAUUGAAUGCUGCAAAAAAUGCUCAUUUAUUAUUUUUAGAUUUAAAAAAAGAGAAUAUUUUGAUUUUGUAUUUUUUGAAUUGUGUAUGUCAAUGCUUGUGCCAUAGAUCACACCAAGUACGGCGCUGGCAAUUUCUUCCAGAGUCAUGGCUUUAGGGACUGAAUGACCAGCCAUGAAGUUGGCGUAGUCGUCUGCGAUUUUAGCCUUAUGACUGGAGAUCACAUUGUUUUUCUCAACAGGUUGUCUGCUGAGGAAGUCAGCCGGAUUGUUCUCUCCUGGCUGGUAGCAUAGGGUGAAAUCGUAAGGUUGGAGUCUGAGAUUCCAUCGUUCAAUUCUUGCUGAGGUUCUGAAUGUGAUGCUGUUGAAGAUUCCUUCAAGAAGUAUGUGGUCAGAGAUUACUGUGAACUGGUGACCAAGUAAGUACACGUUGAAAUGUUCACAAGCCCAGAUGACUGCAAGAGCUUCACAGCUGGAUUUGAGAGUAUCGUGACUCGACAUCAGUCAAAGCACGACUUGUGUAUGCCACUAUGCGAAUGUUGUUCUACCAUCCAGAGGUAAAACCUAGUAACAUGGUCGACCAAGUUUUGAGAAAAUAAAAAAAACAGUUCAAAGUUCUUACAUUUAUUUAUUGACCAAAAUGUAUUUCUCAUUCAUAAAGUUCUUCAAUAGAUGGGAUGUUAGGUUAUCUGAGAGUUUCACUGAAAAAAAUACUGUGAUAGCAAAAUAAUUACAAGAUACUAGGUUGGAUGGCUUCCUUUACAGAGGUAAAACCUGGUAACAUUAAGCUACUACUUCACCUUGGCACAACUCUGCCCAAAGCAAAACCUUGUAACUUAUGAAAUUCACCAGUUGCUAGGUUUUACCUCAGAAAUGGUAACUGAAAUCAGCCUGCAGCUCAAUUAAAUUAAACAUGGUAUAAUAAACUUACAACCUACUGUAAUCAUAAAAGUACAUUGGGAUUGUAACUGGCAAUUACAGUUGAGUCCUGAAUAUGGGCAACCACCUGGUUCGAUGACAAAACCUUACAUAGUUGUCCAAAUGCGACCCAGAAUCAUUGAAAAUAUGUCCAAUUGUAUAUAAAUAGAUUUUUAUCUUUCAUGACCCCAAAUAGCAGACCUCCGGGUCCCUGGGGUUUUUUUAUGUAGCAUGUGUCUCUUCCGAUUCUUUUUAUGAUCCUAAACAUAACAGGACAAAAUUAACUCUUAGUAUACAUGGGCCUGUUCCACCUUUUUACGCAGCCAUUUUUUUUAUAUUUUUAGGGGGCCGUGGUAAAAUGAUUAUAACUGUCUUAUUUUUUUACCUCUGUAAUUGUAUGACACAUCAACAUUUUCAGAAAUGAACAAGCAAUUCAACCUUGGUAAAGAAAAAGAUAUGUCAGGCAUGAGAGAAGAGAUAUGUGGCUUGAAGGAGGAAGAAAUUGAUGAAAAAGAAGAAAAAAUCAACGUAUUUUCGACUUACAUGUAUUCAUGGCAGAUAACAAUCCUUUCAGAAUGUUUGAAACAACAUAUCAAAUGAAAGUAUGUCCAUUUCCCAGUUCAUGUUGAAAGUUUCAGAGGUUUCUGAUGCACACAAAAAAGUUUUUGUAACUUUGAAAUAAGUCACUCAAAUACAGGUAAAAAAGCACAAACACAACACCACUGGAUAAGAACUCUAUAAAAAAGAUUUACACUAUGUACAGUUCACAACCCCAGUUACACUGAUGAAUGGAAUUGCUUAAAACAUUUAUUUGGGUGCAGAAAUGGCUGGCUGUCACACCCGUUGCAAAAGAAUGAAGUCCUCACCCUCUUUUCGCGCGUGCUACACUCUCUGCAUUCACGGGUCAGUUUUGACUUCACAAUGACAUGUGAGCUGUUCCAGACCCUGUUCAAGGGGUUUUCUGGCUGGGCAUGACCUCUGUUGUCAUUAUUCUCUUGUAUCUCUGCGAGAUGUCAUGUCGCAAGGUUGCACAGUUUAUCAAUGAGCUUCGUUUUGAAUUUCAGCAACGGAUGUUUCUUGGCACCUUCAGGCUAAGAUUUGGUAUAAAGUAUAAAAGCGUUGAUCUGUGUGAUCUCAAAGAUCCACAGAAAAAUUUUGUUCCACCACUUUCUUGUUCUUCUAUAGAAGGUAGGCUACCAUAGGUCUGGACCAUCUGAUCAAUUUUAUCACAGCCGUUCAUGUUUUUAUUAUAAUCUUAAAUUACAACCGACUUGUCCACCCCUUUCACCUCUGUUGCACGUACUUGUGCCUCACUAGAUACCAAGACAUAUGGUUUCUUUGCUUUUUUGUCUCGAAAUGUUACACACAGGUACUUUGUAUCCUGCAUGUACCACCUCAUUGCUCUGAAAGCGAGCCUGUUUGUUUUCAGCUCUGGCGGGAAGUCACGUCGAUUUAUAUUUACCGUCCCGGUAUAAUAAAAUUUCUCGCUUGAUAAAUAUUUCAGCAGGGGAUAGCUGUUGUAGUACCUGUCUGCAAACAGGUGGUGUCCAGGUGACAGAGGUGACAGCAGAGUGCUAAAAACCUUUUCUGCCUGUUAAGCAUCAUGAUGGCGAGGGUCAAACGAGGUGUUAGCCCCAAAAUAAAUGAGCAAGUUCAGGACAUAUCUGCUUUCACUCUCGCAUAAACUGAAAGUCUUGUGAUAUUUUUUUGGUUUGGACGCAUUGAACAUUCUAUGUGCCCACCUGCCCUUCCAGCCGAUAACCAUUUCAUCGAAGGAGAGAUUCUUCUUUGGGUAGUACGCAGCUUGAAACUGUCAUAACAAACAAUUUACAAAGGGUUCAAUCUUCGCUUUUUCUUCAACUCCAACCUCGCAAACAUGUAACAUCGUGCGGUAAAUUGCUUGGAAUCUGUCGCGCGUGAACAUUUUCUUGAACCACGUUGUGCACUGAAUUCGCUCCUUGGACCAGUAGCUUUGAAUGCUUGGCUUGUGUACUAUACCCAUCGAAAUAACGACGGCAAAAAACUUGUAUAGCUCACCAAGUGAGAUGUCUGUCCAUGUUCGAAAAACAGAACUUGCACUCGCAGUUUUCUGAAGCUCUGCACAUUUAUGCUGUGCGUACUCAUUGAUCGUUGUCACCAAGCCACGGAGAAUUGUUGUUAUACACAGUGCCAAAAAGCAGUGGUUAGGAGAAGAACCUUGUGCCACAAGCUCCAAGUCAACUCCUGUUCUCAGGGGCGUAAACCGAAAACUCUUCACCGUAGCCCCUUCAUUCACUUGUCUCCAGUUGUUCCCUACUUCUGCAUCUCCUCUUCCAUCUCCAGUACUAGUACUAGGCCUAAGAAGGGGAGAUCUUGACCUCUCUCUGCUCUUAGUACUCCCAGCACCAGCUCCCUUUCUUUUACCAGGCCCCUCCCUUUACCCUGUGAAGGACAUGCCCCUCACAAGUCACAAGUUGAAGUUGACGGACCGGGUUCAUCAAGGUCUGACUCACUCGAAGACUCGUCUCUGCCUAUAACAUCGUUCCCAUCCGAGUCUUUAUCGCUACAAUCGAGCUCGGAUUCUUCAUCACACAUAGUUUGGAACAAAUCUAUGGCUGCUUUUGCAGAAAGCCUUUGCUGUCUUCCUUUAUUGGCAACAGCUAUAAUAAACAAACAAGCUGACUUGAGUGGACAAAUUCACACUGAAAAAGUCACAACAAAUUCACUGGAAAAUACGCUCCAAACACCACAAACUGCGUUCGAAAAUAGCAUACUUCCGUUCUAAAGGGAUCUCUAAGAAAAAAGAUUUCCGUACACGGUGUAGUUUUUACACAAAGCCCCAGAAUAUUAGGUGACAUAGAGAGCCACAUGAAGUGGUGUGCCGGCAUUUUGACAUCGUUAAGUGCGCCACGUGAGGUGGUGAGCCGGACACUAAGAGUUAAAAGCAUAGGUCAGGGGGUUGCCAUGGCACAGUGGAUAGAGCACUCACUUCGGGUGAUGGAGCUCUGGGGUUUGAAUCCCAGUUCAGUUCGAAUUUUUUUAUCAGAGAGGGUUUUUUUUGUCUUUCUGGCUUGGCUCACCUGUUGUCAUUGCCCAGCAGAGGUGGACAUUUAAAGCAUAGGUCAUGUCUGUGAAAUGAGUCAUGUCUGAAAUGACCUUCCAAUACGUCAUGUACAGGCAUUAGACAACAAAUUAACAACAAUAAAGCACAGAUCUAAGAAAAAAUAGAAGCAAAGGCAAUAUCACUUGAUAAUACAUUUAUUGACUGCAAAGGUCUAUUUGCCAAAAUUUUGGACCCAAAUGUUGUUACUGAACAAAAA